CCUACGGGUGGCAGCAGUCGAGAAUCAUUCACAAUGGGGGAAACCCUGAUGCUGCGACGCCGCGUGGGGGAAUGAAUGUCUUCGGAUUGUAAGCUCCUGUCGUGUGGGAGCAAAUUAAGAAGAUAGUCCCACAAGAGGAAGAGACGGCUAACUCUGUGCCAGCAGCCGCUGUAAUACAGAGGGCUCAAGCGUUGUUCGGAUUCACUGGGCGUAAGGCGUGCGUAGGCUGUUGCGUAAGUCGUGUGUGAAAGGCGCGGGCUCAACCCGCGGACGGAAUAUGAUACUGCGCGACUAGAGUAAUGGAGGGGGAACCGGAAUUCUCGGUGUAGCAGUGAAAUGCGUAGAUAUCGAGAGGAACACUCGUGGCGAAGGCGGGUUGCUGGACAUUAACUGACGCUGAGGCACGAAGGCCAGGGGAGCGAAAGGGAUUAGAUACCCGAGUAGUC
rnacentral:rRNA from 1 species